CCUACGGGAGGCAGCAGUGAGGAAUAUUGGUCAAUGGAGGCAACUCUGAACCAGCCAUGCCGCGUGCAGGAUGACGGUCCUAUGGAUUGUAAACUGCUUUUGUACAGGAAGAAACCUCCCUACGAGUAGGGACUUGACGGUACUGUAAGAAUAAGGAUCGGCUAACUCCGUGCCAGCAGCCGCGGUAAUACGGAGGAUCCGAGCGUUAUCCGGAAUUAUUGGGUUUAAAGGGUUCGUAGGCGGCUUUGUAAGUCAGUGGUGAAAUUUCCUAGCUUAACUAGGACACUGCCAUUGAUACUGCAGAGCUUGAAUAAUAUGGAAGUAACUAGAAUAUGUAGUGUAGCGGUGAAAUGCUUAGAUAUUACAUGGAAUACCAAUUGCGGAGGCAGGUUACUACGUAUUUAUUGACGCUGAUGAACGAAAGCGUGGGGAGCGGAACAGGAUUAGAUACCCUGGUAGUCCACGCCGUAAACGAUGGAUACUAGCUGUUCGGUUUCGGUUACGUGUAGUGGUCGUAGUACGAAGUAGAGUAAGUAUACCACCGUACGGGUAGGUACGGUUACGUCGAAGAAGAGAAACGUACUAAAUAAGAAGUUAGUACGGACGUGAGACGUAGACCGACGGACGACGACGAGGGAGGAGGGAG
rnacentral:rRNA from 1 species